GACAGAGGUGCCGAGCGUUAGGCGGAAUCACUGGGCUUAAAGCGCGUGUAGGCGGACUUCUAAGUACCUUGUGAAAUCCCACGGCUCAACCGUGGAACUGCUUGGUAUACUGGUCGUCUUGAGCCAUCUAGGGGCUGUCGGAACAAAUGGUGGAGCGGUGAAAUGCGUAGAUAUCAUUUGGAACGCCAAAGGUGAAAACAGACAGCUGGGGAUGUGCUGACGCUGAGACACGAAAGCCAGGGGAGCGAACGGG
rnacentral:rRNA from 1 species